UUCUUCGGGGCAGGGUGUAAUUCCCGACCGGUGGUAUAGUCCACGAAAGCGAGUAAUUGCUUUGAUUUGGUGAAAUUCCAAAACCGACAGUAAAGUCUGGAUGGGAGAGGAU
rnacentral:ncRNA from 1 species